rnacentral:ribozyme from 1 species
AGUUAGAAAGCGAGUGGGCAAGAUACUUAGGGUGGGUAAUGGAAAGAGAAGAACAAGCGGGAGUGAAAGGAUUAGGAGGAGGGGGUUUAAGAGA